rnacentral:rRNA from 1 species
AGUGAACGCUGGCGGCAGGCCUAAUACAUGCAAGUCGAACGGCAGCACAGUGGAGCUUGCUCCAUGGGUGGCGAGUGGCGGACGGGUGAGGAAUACAUGGGAAUCUGCCCAGUCGUGGGGGAUAACGUAGGGAAACUUACGCUAAUACCGCAUGCGCCCUUCGGGGGAAAGCCGGGGACCUUCGGGCCUGGCGCGAUUGGAUGAGCCCAUGUUCGAUUAGCUAGUUGGCGGGGUAAAGGCCCACCAAGGCGACGAUCGAUAGCUGGUCUGAGAGGAUGAUCAGCCACACUGGGACUGAGACACGGCCCAGACUCCUACGGGAGGCAGCAGUAGGGAAUAUUGGACGAUGGGCGCAAGCCUGAUCCAGCCAUGCCGCGUGAGUGAAGAAGGCCCUCGGGUUGUAAAGCUCUUUUGUCCGGGAAGAAAAGCAUCGGGCUAAUACCUCGGUGUUCUGACGGUACCGGAAGAAUAAGCACCGGCUAACUUCGUG